CUCGAAAGACAGAAAGCUUUGCAACAAAGAGAUAUGGCUUCCCUGGCGGCAUCCAGAGCAGCUGCCUCCCUUGGAGUGUCUGAAAUGCUAGGAAACCCUCUCAACUUCAGUGGAGCCACCAGGUCUGCUUCUCCGACUGCAUCCACUCCUGCCACGUUCAAGACUGUUGCUCUCUUUUCCAAGAAGAAGCCUGCUCCUAAACCAAAGCCUUCUGCUGUUUCACCAGCUGAUGUGGAGCUCGCCAAGUGG
rnacentral:lncRNA from 1 species